rnacentral:rRNA from 1 species
UAAGGUGAUAUGAACCGUUAUAACCGGCGAUACCCGAAUGGGGAAACCCAGUGUGACUCGUCACACUAUCAUUAACUGAAUCCAUAGGUUAAUGAGGCGAACCGGGGGAACUGAAACAUCUAAGUACCCCGAGGAAAAGAAAUCAACCGAGAUUCCCCCAGUAGCGGCGAGCGAACGGGGAGGAGCCCAGAGCCUGAAUCAGCAUGUGUGUUAGUGGAAGCGUCUGGAAAGGCGCGCGAUACAGGGUGACAGCCCCGUACACAAAAGCGCAUGUGCUGUGAGCUCGAUGAGUAGGGCGGGACACGUGGUAUCCUGUCUGAAUAUGGGGGGACCAUCCUCCAAGGCUAAAUACUCCUGACUGACCGAUAGUGAACCAGUACCGUGAGGGAAAGGCGAAAAGAACCCCGGCGAGGGGAGUGAAAAAGAACCUGAAACCGUGUACGUACAAGCAGUGGGAGCACAGGUUUACCUGUGUGACUGCG